rnacentral:lncRNA from 1 species
UGCCACCACAUCAGUUGUUUAUUACAGAGAACUUCCCUUCCUUUUUUGUUCUGUUUUUCCCAGGAGAUGAGCCCGAUUCAUCCUGACAGAGGUUCUCAGCACAUAUUUGCCCAGGGGCUGCUUACAGAGACGCACUGACAAGUAACACAGUGCGGGAGAAAGGCACCCUGUGCCUGUGCCACAGGGGGUCUAGCGGGCACCAAAAUGGGCUCAGCACAUCAUUCCCAACCCCAUGCCACCUCAGGGAUGGCUGCUGCACGUGGACCUGGCUGGCCAUGGGGCAUGAGGCCUCUGGGCUUUCCCAUGGGUGCUCAGCACCAGCCCUGCUCUCUGAGGAUGCUCUCCCAGCACCAACUUGGUCCCAGCGCUCGUGAGGAUGGGUGUCAAAUCAAUCCCUGCAGCAAGGAUGCCAAGUUAAAAUAAUAAACCCAGAGGAAAGCAGCCAGCCAUCUGCCAGAACUGCAAAUUUCAGCUGGAUUUCCAGAAACACUUCAGCUCUUAAAACCAAGAGAGGAGAGAAAAUAAAACCCCCUCCUCUUCCACGAGCACAGAAAGCACUCACGAUGAGGUGUAAAAUUCCUCUUUGACUUCAAAGGCAUUUCUCCUGGCUGGUUACCCCAAAAUCCUGGCACAACCCAUUGGAAAGCCAUUGGGAGCACAGCUCAGCGCCGCUCUGCUGCCAGAUGACAGCAUCCUGCUGCCCGGGGUGCGGGAUGCUGUGCUGGGGAGUCCCGGGGUGUCAGAGGGAUGCUGAAAACACAAUACUCACCCCUCUGGAAGCAGGGAGGAGGAGGAGGGAUGGGGAUGGGAGAAUACUACUUAUGCUGCAGCAAAGAGAGCUUGUGUGGUUGGCAACAGCACCCUGCUUCUGCCAGAGUGGGUUACAUCCCUCUGCCAAGACCCCACACUGCCAUCCCCAUGGCCAGCAUCAGCAGGAUGCUCACCCAUGAGGCUGGCUGAGACCCUCGGUCCAGCUUAGGCUUUGCUGGGAAAGCUCAGGGCAAACCUUCCCUCCUCAAACACCGGCCAAAAGGCGUUAUUUCUUGUGCUGUUACUGAAACUUUCUGCAAGCAAAGUCAGCCCCAAGCACCCCAGCAUCAGCACCCACCCAGAGCAGUGCAUCCCCCAAGCCCCAUCCUGGCAUGGGUGCAGGCAAUGGCCUGUUACAAACAAGACAAGACUUAGAAAUGUGCUUUCUCAAGCUGCACCAGGUUUCUGCACCC